CCUUAUUUUUCAUUUAAUAUUAUUUUUGAAUUUUUAUUUUAUUCAUUUUAAACAUUUUUGAUCCCAACUUUUCAGGUCAAUUUAUUAUUUUUGUUUACCUUCCACAUUUUCUUGGACUUUUAUUUGAUGUUUUGAUACCUUUUUGACAUUUUCCCUUUUAUUUUUUUUAUUUAAUCAAUAUUAAAUCAUUAUUAAGGGAUUUUUAUUUUCUCUUGAUGAUCAUUAGAUGUUUUGAAUUGAGUUUAAUUGCUUGGUUGAUGAAUUCUUCCUCAUCUUAAAUCGUUGAUAGAUGGACUUAAGGUUGAUGAACCUUCUUUGAUCCAAAACUGUUGAUAGAUGAUUAUGAAUCAUCU
rnacentral:lncRNA from 1 species